CGGGACGCUGCAGCAGUGAGGAAUAUUGCACAAUGGGGGGAACCCUGAUGCAGCAACGCCGCGUGGAGGAUGACGCAUUUCGGUGUGUAAACUCCUUUUAUAUGUCAAGAAAAUGACGGUAGCAUAUGAAUAAGCGCCGGCUAACUCCGUGCCAGCAGCCGCGGUAAUACGGAGGGCGCAAGCGUUACUCGGAAUCACUGGGCGUAAAGGACGCGUAGGCGGGUUGAAAAGUCAGGUGUGAAAGCCUACAGCUUAACUGUAGAACUGCACUUGAAACUUCUAAUCUAGAGUAUGGGAGGGGGAGAUGGAAUUAGUGGUGUAGGGGUAAAAUCCGUAGAUAUCACUAGGAAUACCUAAAGCGAAGGCGAUCUCCUGGAACAUUACUGACGCUAAGGCGUGAAAGCGUGGGGAGCAAACAGGAUUAGAUACCCCGGUAGUC
rnacentral:rRNA from 1 species